rnacentral:rRNA from 1 species
UACGUAGGUGGCAAGCGUUGUCCGGAUUUACUGGGCGUAAAGGGCGCGUAGGCGGCGCAACAAGUCACUUGUGAAAUCUCCGGGCUUAACCCGGAGCGGCCAAGUGAUACUGUCGUGCUAGAGUGCGGAAGGGGCUACUGGAAUUCCCGGUGUAGUGGUGAAAUGCGUAGAGAUCGGGAGGAACACCCGUGGCGAAGGCGGCCAACUGGGCCGGACCUGGACGCUGAGGCG